CAACCCUGGUGGCGAGUGGCGAACGGGUGAGUAAUGCAUCGGAACGUAUCUUCGAGUGGGGGAUAACGCACCGAAAGGUGUGCUAAUACCGCAUAAUCUCUACGGAGAAAAGCAGGGGAUCGCAAGACCUUGCGCUCUUGGAGCGGCCGAUGUCUGAUUAGCUAGUUGGUGAGGUAAAGGCUUACCAAGGCGACGAUCAGUAGCUGGUCUGAGAGGACGACCAGCCACACUGGGACUGAGACACGGCCCAGACUCCUACGGGAGGCAGCAGUGGGGAAUUUUGGACAAUGGGGGAAACCCUGAUCCAGCCAUGCCGCGUGAGUGAAGAAGGCCUUCGGGUUGUAAAGCUCUUUCAGCCGGAACGAAACGGUCACGGUUAAUACCCGUGACUACUGACGGUACCGGAAGAAGAAGCACCGGCUAACUAC
rnacentral:rRNA from 1 species